AGAGUUUGAUCCUGGCUCAGGACGAACGCUGGCGGCGCGCCUAACACAUGCAAGUCGAACGGAGCUGUUUUCUCUGAAGUUUUCGGAUGGAAGAGAGUUCAGCUUAGUGGCGAACGGGUGAGUAACACGUGAGCAACCUGCCUUUCAGUGGGGGACAACAUUUGGAAACGAAUGCUAAUACCGCAUAAGACCACAGUGUCGCAUGACACAGGGGUCAAAGGAUUUAUCCGCUGAAAGAUGGGCUCGCGUCCGAUUAGCUAGAUGGUGAGGUAACGGCCCACCAUGGCGACGAUCGGUAGCCGGACUGAGAGGUUGAACGGCCACAUUGGGACUGAGACACGGCCCAGACUCCUACGGGAGGCAGCAGUGGGGAAUAUUGCACAAUGGGGGAAACCCUGAUGCAGCGACGCCGCGUGGAGGAAGAAGGUCUUCGGAUUGUAAACUCCUGUCCCAGGGGACGAUAAUGACGGUACCCUGGGAGGAAGCACCGGCUAACUACGUGCCAGCAGCCGCGGUAAAACGUAGGGUGCAAGCGUUGUCCGGAAUUACUGGGUGUAAAGGGAGCGCAGGCGGAUUGGCAAGUUGGGAGUGAAAUCUAUGGGCUCAACCCAUAAAUUGCUUUCAAAACUGUCAGUCUUGAGUGGUGUAGAGGUAGGCGGAAUUCCCGGUGUAGCGGUGGAAUGCGUAGAUAUCGGGAGGAACACCAGUGGCGAAGGCGGCCUACUGGGCACUAACUGACGCUGAGGCUCGAAAGCAUGGGUAGCAAACAGGAUUAGAUACCCUGGUAGUCCAUGCCGUAAACGAUGAUUACUAGGUGUGGGAGGAUUGACCCCUUCCGUGCCGCAGUUAACACAAUAAGUAAUCCACCUGGGGAGUACGACCGCAAGGUUGAAACUCAAAGGAAUUGACGGGGGCC
rnacentral:rRNA from 1 species